rnacentral:snoRNA from 1 species
CUGCAGUCAACUAAACUGACUGGGUUCCUUGCUGGUGGGUGCCCGGUGUGCAGCGGCUGUGCACAUCAAGUUCCUCGCUAGUAUAUAUAGCUUGUUGCUUAUAUGGGUUGCCCUAAGCAACCAAGACAUUG